GAUGAACGCUGGCGGCGUGCCUAAUACAUGCAAGUCGAGCGAACAGACGAGGAGCUUGCUCCUCUGACGUUAUCGGCGGACGGGUGAUUAACACGUGGAUAACCUACCUAUAAGACUGGGAUAACUUCGGGAAACCGGAGCUAAUACCGGAUAAUAUAUUGAACCGCAUGGUUCAAUAGUUAAAGACGGUUUUUCUUUCACUUAUAGAUUGAUCCGCGCCGCAUUAGCUAGUUGGUAAGGUAACGGCUUACCAAGGCAACGAUGCGUAGCCGACCUGAGAGGGUGAUCCGCCACACUGGAACUGAGACACGGUACAGACUCCUACGGGAGGCAGCAGUAGAGAAUCUUACGCAAUGGGGGAAAGCCUGACGGAGCAAAGCCGCGUGAGUGAUGAAGGUCUUCGGAUCGUAAAACGCUGUUAUUAGGGAAGAACAAAUGUGUAAGUAACUAUGCACGUCUUGACGGUACCUAAUCAGAAAGCCACGGCUAACUACGUG
rnacentral:rRNA from 1 species